GCAUUUUUAUUCAGGUUUGCCCUGGGGCCAGGUUAACUCCGUCACCCCUCACCCUUGGUCAUAAUAGAGUCUGAAGAAAUCUGGACCAUUUGGACAUCCUGCAGCAUGUGAUACUGGUUUAGUAAACCAAUGGCCACAGACUGAUUAGGCAGGGAUGUUUCCCGUGAAAGGAUGCGAAGCAACAGGUAUCCAAUAUUCUGAAGGGUACCUAGGAGAUUCACUAGGAUGUAUUAUCAUGUUCUGCUUCAUAUUCUUUUGGAGUACAUAAAAAUGGGCAAAAUGAGAAACAUGGAGACCUUUUGGAAAGAAACUUGCAUCAUCAUCACUAUAAUCAAGAAUGUGAGGUUUAAGACUUGUAUUAUGGCCUAAAAGGCUCUCCCUGCCUUUUCUGGUGUCUUCCCCUUAAUUCUUAAUUGAAAUCUUCUCCAAUAAAUCAAAUCCCAUCUUGACAUCUGCUUCGCACAGGAACUGAACUAACACAAGUGAAUCCUGGUGUGAGCCAAGAAAAAAGCAGUAAGAUGGCACUUUUGGACUAGCUUGCUCACCGUCCAGUGACCAGUGAGGACGCCGUCCUGGGUGGUAUGCAGUGCAUGGCUAGUCUCUGGCACUAGGUGGCCUCUCAGAUGCUAAAGACUUCACAAGUAGUGACCUGGAGAAACUCUUGGGUGGAGGGAACAUCACUGUAGGUACAGUGAUCCAAGAUUUUGAAAGGUAUGGGAGUGCCAUGUCUGUAGGCAGAGGAGCUGGUUGGUCAGUGAAUGCCAAACUGUAUUGAUGCCUUCACAAGGAUGAUGAAAAACUGAGGGCCUUCAACACGCAUUUAAAGGCUGAGUGUGAGAGCCAGAGAGCAUCCUUAGUGCCUUAGCUCCCGCAGUGGGGAAGCUGGCACAGCUGAGUAGCUGACCAGAGAUCCGAAUGUUAACGUCGGAGCUCCUAAUACAUUUAAAUGGCCAGAAAGCUUGGAAAAGGUUGAGAAAACUUCAGAUUCUGAAAAAUGGGAUGAGUAUGAGGAUGUUGUUGACUCCGUACACACACCCAGCUUACAGCAGCAGUAAGAGCUAACGCUCCGCCCAUACUGGAAGAUGCAACAGACUUCUCCCCAACCAUGUGAGAGGCGCCCCCAUUACAGCUGCUCCCACCUCCUCGCCUGGAUUCCAGACUGAUAACCAGCUGAAGAUAUUCUGGGCCUGAGAAGAGAAGGAAGGUAUUAUAUAUUGUGAGGAGCCACCAAAGCGAGCUGGCCUAUACCAGUGUUGGAUUUUGAGGGUCUUUGAUCCAGGGUGAUGGAAUGUAAGAGUGGA